GCCUGACCACAAACUUUGGAAAUACCCNCCAGACUACUACGAGCCACAGCUUAAAACUCAAAGGACUUGGCGGUGCUUUAUAUCCACCUAGAGGAACCUGUUCUAUAAUCGAUAUUCCCCGAUCAACCUCACCACCACUUGCUAAUACAGCCUAUAUACCACCGUCCAGCUAACCCCUUAAAGGAAAAACAGUAAGCAAAAUAACUUUUAGUAAAAAAGUCAGGUCAAGGUGUAGCACAUAUGGUGGAAAGAAAUGGGCUACAUUUUCUAAACAGAAAACACGAAAUAAUUUAUGAAAUAAAAUAUGAAGGAGGAUUUAGCAGUAAAAAGAAAAAAGAGUGUUCUUUUAAAGCAGGCAAUAAAGCACGCACACACCGCCCGUCACCCUCAUCAAAUAUAACAAUUUAAAUAAAAUAAUAUAUAAAUAAGAAGAGGAAAGU
rnacentral:rRNA from 1 species